GACGAACGCUGGCGGCGUGCCUAAUACAUGCAAGUAGAACGCUGAAGGAGGAGCUUGCUUCUCUGGAUGAGUUGCGAACGGGUGAGUAACGCGUAGGUAACCUGCCUGGUAGCGGGGGAUAACUAUUGGAAACGAUAGCUAAUACCGCAUAAUAGUAGAUGUUGCAUGACAUUUGCUUAAAAGGUGCAAUUGCCUCACUACCAGAUGGACCUGCGUUGUAUUAGCUAGUUGGUGGGGUAACGGCUCACCAAGGCGACGAUACAUAGCCGACCUGAGAGGGUGAUCGGCCACACUGGGACUGAGACACGGCCCAGACUCCUACGGGAGGCAGCAGUAGGGAAUCUUCGGCAAUGGACGGAAGUCUGACCGAGCAACGCCGCGUGAGUGAAGAAGGUUUUCGGAUCGUAAAGCUCUGUUGUAAGAGAAGAACGAGUGUGAGAGUGGAAAGUUCACACUGUGACGGUAUCUUACCAGAAAGGGACGGCUAACUACGUG
rnacentral:rRNA from 1 species